rnacentral:rRNA from 2 species
AGGUGUGAUCAUAGCAGCACUAAUGCACCAGAUCCCAUUAGAACUCCGUAGUUAAGCGGUUCGCUUUUUUCAUAGUAGCACUAAUGCACCAGAUCAAAGAAGCACUAAUGCACAUG